rnacentral:rRNA from 1 species
AUUGAACGCUGGCGGCAGGCCUAACACAUGCAAGUCGAGCGGAGUGGCGAACGGGUGAGUAAUGUAUCGGAACGGGCCCAGGAGCGGGGGAUAACUACGCGAAAGCGUAGCUAAUACCGCAUACUAUUGGAGCGGCCGAUAUCGGAUUAGCUAGUUGGUGGGGUAACGGCGCACCAAGGCGAAGAUCCGUAGCUGGUUUGAGAGGACGACCAGCCACACUGGGACUGGGACACGGCCCAGACUCCUACGGGAGGCAGCAGUGGGGAAUUUUGGACAAUGGGGGAAACCCUGAGCCAGCCAUCCCGCGUGUGCGAUGAAGGCCUUCGGGUUGUAAAGCACUUUUGGCAGGAAAGCGGUACCUGCAGAAUAAGCACCGGCUAACUACGUGCCAGCAGCCGCGGUAAUAC